GUGUAGUUAGUCAUGAAGAGGGAAACAUCUUCAUAGUAUUAAGUUUAGGGAACAACAACAGCAAAAAUCUCUUGUCAAUAUUUCUAAGGAGUUCAAGUGGAUUACUAGGUAAUGGCAGUGCUGAAAGUCUUGAGAUAUUAGCUGAACUCUUUGCUGUUGCUGUACACUUUUUAAAAACUAUUUUAUGUCUGUUAGUAUUUUGCCUGGAUGUAUAUCUGUGUGCCUAGUGCCUUUGGUGGUCAGAAAAGGCCCCUGGGACUGGAGUUGGAGAUAGUUGUUAGCUAUGUGGGUACUGGAACUUGAACUCAUGUCCUCUGCAAGAUCAACAAGUGAUCUUAACCACUGAGCCAUCACUCCAGUCACCUAUACACUUUUACUUUUAGACAUUUUACACUUUGAUCAUAUUCUGGAAGAUAAAUUUUAAUAACUAAAAGUUUUAUCUUAACAGUUGAAUAUGUAAAAUUUAUACAUCUUUUUAUCCCUUUUGUCUCAUAAGGUGCUUGGAGUGCAGAAGAGUAGCCAAGAAAAUUUUAAUGUUGCCAGUGAUCAAAUGGCAAACAGCUGUUUUACAUUAGUUUUAGAUUUAUAGGCUGUUGAAGUCUGCGUUUUCUGGUUCUACCCUUAACUCUUCCUACAAGCUGAAGAAAUCUGUUUCACAUUUACUGUCUGUCAUUGUGCACAUUGAAGACUAGUUGACUUUGAAUAAGUACUGUCUGUGGUUGAAACACUUAGACACUAUCAUUUAGUGGAUAGUUUGGUUUUCUUAAAUUAGGCACAGUUCUGUGUUGUUCAAGACUUCGAUAUCAAAUAAUAGUUAUAAUUUGAAUCUUUACUUGAGGCAGACUCUUCUAGUUCUACUUUUCCAUUUAUUUUUGUAUGUAUGUGUGGUUUAGAUUUCUUUAAAUGUAUAUUGAAUAUUUGCUAUGCUUCCAGGUACAAUUCUACACACUGAAGAUAUGAAUGGAGAAAACUCCAAAUUUCUUGACUCUGUUAGAAUUUAAAACCCUUCGACAGAGUUCUAAGAAGAGCUCUGUCUUUCUCCUUUCUCCUGCCAUCUCCUUAAAUCAGUAUGUAGCUAACCCUAACAACCAUUUGCAGCACAGCUGUGAAGGUGACAUUUUCCUGUGACUGCAGUAAAUGGCUGAGUUACCAUGUUGCCUGGUCUUUUAACAUGUAGCCAAGUUAACAGGUAUCAGUGAGGUAAUACCAGAGCACAAGACAGGAUCACAACUUAUAAGGCAAACCUACCUUUCUCCUUCUCCCUGUCUGAAACAACUUCUUAAACAGCAGGACAACUACAACACAAUUUAGAAUAUUUGUAAUUUGGUCACAAAGAAAGAUACAAAGUAUUUAUGGCAUUGCUUACAGAUUCUCUUUCCUUACAUUUAUAUAUUAUCUCUGAUAUUGAUUCACUUAUCAAAUAGAAUAUACAAACUACAUUUUUAAAUUUUGUUAAAGAAUGAAUAAAAUUCUUUAGCCAAAUAGUUUAGUUUACAGAAAAUUCUGGGACAUGUGAGAUAAAGUACUAAGAUUAACACUUACAUAUAAUAUACACAAAACCCCUAUUUAUGAUUCUGAUACUAAUACACUCCUUUUUUUUUAUUUUAAAGAUUUAUUUCAUGUAUGUGAGUAAACUGUCACUGUCUUCAGACACACCAGAAGAGGGCAUCAGAUCCCAUUACUGAUGGUUGUGAGCCACCAUGUGGUUGCUGGGAAUUGAACUCAGGACGUUUGGAAGAGCAGUCAGUGCUCUUAACCACUGAGCCAUCUCUCCAGCCCACUACUACACUCCUAAUUUAUGUAUGUAUGUGUGUGGGUGCUGUAGCAUUUAUGUGGAGGACAAAGGACAACAUGUGGGAGUUGGUGCUCUUCCUCUCCUUAGGGGUCAAACAGCUUGCUAGGUCUGAGCUGCAGGGGCCUCCACCUCCUAAGCCAUCCUGCUGACCCUAAGAGCUGACCCUAAGAGCAAUACACUCAUACAUUUUGCAAAAGUUGAUCUGAGUACUACAAGUAAUCCUUGGGACCAAACUCUGAACUGGGUGCUUUUAACACGAAGCUUGCUGCUGUGUGACAGACUUCCUGAGGAGGCACAAUACAUGUCUACUUGUCCCCACAAGUAGAGAGAUAGAGAGCCCACAACAGAUCAAAGUACAGAUACCCCUAAAGUCCUUGGUAAAUCAGUGAGCUUUAUUGGAGUUACUUACAGGAUCAAAAACGACUCAAUAGAUAUAUCAAAGUCCACCCCAGCAUGGGUAGCAACUCAAAAAGGCUGAAAAUAGGGCCCACACUGCACAGCCCUGAGCAGCCCUGAGCAGCAUGCCAUGGUGAGGGAAGAAGAGUGACCCUUUCCCGUGGCUGAGCUAGUCCUCAGCCUUUCCCAGGCAGCUUUUCUAAUACCAGGGACUAGAAUGCCUGUAUUUUUAGAUACCAAACGGGUUAUUUUGUACUAAAGGAGUUAUUGAUAAACUUUCUUCAUAUGACAAUUCAGUUCUCUAGAAAAAUCUCAAAAUAUACACAGUUUUUUGUUUUGAAAGCAGCAGCUCCAGAAAAAGGAAAUGGGCUUGCUUCAGCUAGAAAAGCACUAGAGAUGGUACGAGGUUUUGCAUAUAUCGUCGUAAGAAUUUGAUUUUCUAAUUUUAGCUUUCCAUCUUUUUCCUUAUGUUCUUAAGAAAGAUUUCCAAGAGUGUAUUGGAAUUCCAACAUUGUCAUGUUCUUUUUCCUUCUGUUCCACCUGAUUUUCAGCAUCAAGUUGACAUCAGUGUUCAUUAUUUUCAAAUAAUAAACUUGGAAGCCUUGGAUACUAAAUCUUUGAAUGGACUUUUGGUUAAGGCACCCAGAGUGAGUCAUCAGGUCGGGACACUGAGAACCAGCAGAUGCAGGCUUUUCCACCCUUCCUGUGCACUGAGAGCAGAGGACCUGUGAUUGAGCCACUGGAGAGAUUUCUUGACGAUCAUGCUGAUUAAAGCAAUUAAAAGUCUAGUCCUUUUUAUUGAUGGGCAGACCAAGAGCAGGCUUUUGCCUCUGAAAAGUCUCUUGGUGCCAAGCUUAGGGAUACAGAGGUUAUAAAGGCAAACCCACAAAAACCAUAAUUUAUAUCAAAGUUAGAUGGGGGUCGGGGUAACCUUGAAAUGUUCAUUCCUGUCAGAGCAUUGUAAUUAUUUUACAUGUACCAUGCCAAUCAUUUUUGACUUACAUCUUUUCUAGUUAUUUUAGCUUAGUUACUUUGCUUAAUACAUCUGGACCAUAGUCAAGGCGAUGGGAUGGCAAGGCAGAUGUGACCGUUAGGGGAAGAGGGGAUGAAUCCAGGACGGAUGGCGAUAAGGCGUUUUACCUAUUUUAGGACUUGCUUUAGUAAUGCCAAAUAGUUCUACUUAGUACUAGAACUUUGAGUGGGCUUGGUCUGAGGGGAAUAGGAGAGGAUAUGGAUUUAGGCUUAAAAGAGCAGUUCUAAUUCCUGGUUAUAGACUGGCCUUUCUCCUGUUACAUAGUUUUAAGAGCUGGUAAAAAUAGGAAAGUGCUUUUUUUUUUUUUUUAAGAGCUUCCUUUUAUGCCACUUGCUUCUGCUUCCUUUUACUUCCCUUUCCUUGUCCUAGCAAGGUCAUUCUCACAGCUCGUUUUUUAAUUUUAACUCCAAUAUCCAGUGUUGAGCAAAAUGUGUCCAGGCAAGAGAAUAUCCCUGUUACGCCUGUGACUCCCCUGCUUCUCCCGUAGAACUCUGCACUUCCCUUGUGGUAACACAGUAUAAUCUGACUGAGUUUCCUUGGUGGUGAUGUUGUGUCCUUGUUUUCUGAAACAUUUGUUACUCUUUAAUGAUGUUCUGAGUCAGGGUCUCAAGUAGCCCAGGCUGGCUCAGACUAGCUUUUCAUGAUCCUUCUAGGUCUGUCGGUGAGUCUGGGUUUUAGGUGUGUGUUAGCACACCAGUUAAACUUUUAAUGGACAGCUUCUUUGUAAUUUAUUCAUUGUUGGUCUGUUGUGUGUUCUUUGGUACUUACAGAAAAGUUCUUCUGUAGAGUAGUUGAAGUUUGUGCAUUAAAUGAAUUUAGGGAAAACUUAAAAAACACUUUCAGAUAAUCUACAUUUAUUUUGCUGAAGUCUUUUUGAUU
rnacentral:lncRNA from 1 species